CCCUUAGAUGUUCUGGGCCGCACACGCGCUACAAUGGCAAAGUCAACGAGCUAAUCCUAUGCUGACAAGCACAGGUAAUCUUUUCAGUCUUUGUCGUGAUGGGGAUAGACCCUUGUAAUUAUUGGUCUCCAACGAGGAAUUCCUAGUAAACGCAAGUCAUCAACUUGCAUUGAUUACGUCCCUGCCCUUUGUACACACCGCCCGUCGCACCUACCGAUUGAAUGGUCCGGUGAAGUCUUCGGACCGAUGCUAGCUCGUUGGCAACGGAAAGUCGAGUAAACCUUACCAUUUAGAGGAAGGUGAAGUCGUAACA
rnacentral:rRNA from 1 species